rnacentral:rRNA from 1 species
GGGUUGUGAGGUUAAGCGACUAAGCGUACACGGUGGAUGCCCUGGCAGUCAGAGGCGAUGAAGGACGUGCUAAUCUGCGAUAAGCGCCGGUAAGGUGAUAUGAACCGUUAUAACCGGCGAUUUCCGAAUGGGGAAACCCAGUGUGACUCGUCACACUAUCAUUAACUGAAUCCAUAGGUUAAUGAGGCGAACCGGGGGAACUGAAACAUCUAAGUACCCCGAGGAAAAGAAAUCAACCGAGAUUCCCCCAGUAGCGGCGAGCGAACGGGGAGGAGCCCAGAGCCUGAAUCAGCAUGUGUGUUAGUGGAAGCGUCUGGAAAGGCGCGCGAUACAGGGUGACAGCCCCGUACACAAAAGCGCAUGUGCUGUGAGCUCGAUGAGUAGGGCGGGACACGUGGUAUCCUGUCUGAAUAUGGGGGGACCAUCCUCCAAGGCUAAAUACUCCUGACUGACCGAUAGUGAACCAGUACCGUGAGGGAAAGGCGAAAAGAACCCCGGCGAGGGGAGUGAAAAAGAACCUGAAACCGUGUACGUACAAGCAGUGGGAGCACCCUUCGGGGUGUGACUGCGUACCUUUUGUAUAAUGGGUCAGCGACUUAUAUUCUGUAGCAAGGUUAACCGCAUAGGGGAGCCGCAGGGAAACCGAGUCUUAACCGGGCGUUAAGUUGCAGGGUAUAGACCCGAAACCCGGUGAUCUAGCCAUGGGCAGGUUGAAGGUUGGGUAACACUAACUGGAGGACCGAACCGACUAAUGUUGAAAAAUUAGCGGAUGACCUGUGGCUGGGGGUGAAAGGCCAAUCAAACCGGGAGAUAGCUGGUUCUCCCCGAAAGCUAUUUAGGUAGCGCCUCGUGAA